AGCUCGAUCGUCUGUGGAGAGAGCAUCGAGAGAGCAUCGUGAGAGCAUCGUUACAAAGUAUUGUGGCUCUCUCCUCUCUCUCUCUCUCCCUCUCUCCUUUACUUUCGAUCUUCAUCAUCGUCAUCGUCAUAUUUGGACAUCUUCUACCAUAACGGGAGUCAGCGAGAAGGAAGAGCCAUGAUCUACCAACGGUGUUAACACGAUAAACAAAGAAGAAGGAAGGAAGGAAGGAAGGAAGGAAUCAAAAUGAUUCAUCUAUCUAAUCGGAGCUGUUCCUAUUAUUUUUUCUGUCGCAGAUCAAUCAAACUACUCACUUGGAGAAUACUAUUAAAAUGGUUAACUGUCGGGGAUCAACAAACUUCAAGGAAGGGAAGUCAACAGGACUACUAUUUAACUGGGGAUCAUUAGGAGCCAAUCAAGGAUGCAGAAUCAACCGGGUGCAGCUACAACUCUAAUCGAUAAUUAUACUUAUAAUGGUUAAUUAAUUAUUCGAAAAGAAGAAGAUGAAGAAACAAGAAGAAAAAAAAGAAGAAAAAGAAGAAUAAGAAUAAUAAUAAGAAGAAGAAGAAAAAUACUCAAGAUUGUAUUACAUCGAAUUCAAAGAAGAUAAUAGAAAUGAUCGAGAUGAUAAUCAAGAAGAUUAACAAAGACUGUUCCAGAUCAGAAGUGAAUUGUUUAAUAUUCCGAAUAAUAAUUUCUCUGAAAGUAUACUAUGGGAACAUUUAUUUAACGGGAAGCUAUGAAUUUCAUCAUGCUCAAUGACCGAUCUCUUUUCUCGUUGUUGUUAUUAUUGUUGUUGUUGUUAUCGUCACCGUUAAUGUUACAUUAGACUGAAACAAAUUUUCAUUUCCAAGAAAAAUAUCGAAAAUUAAUAAUCAUGGAAACAACAUGUAUUUGACAAUGGUGUGGAUGCUUGGAAAUAAUCAAAGACAAUAAUCCGUUAGAAAAAGUCACAGAGGCAUCGCGAAAAUACAAUUUUUAAUGAAAUAAUCAAAUCUAGAGUCGAUACGCAAAUCGAAGUUAAUUGAUACAAAUUGAUUAAAAAAAAUUACAUCGAAAAAUAAAGGAAUAAAUAUCUGAGGAAUCGUUGACCAUACGAAAAGAAAAAAUAUGGUUCAUUAAUGAAAAUCAAAUCAAAUCAAAUUCCAAAGUAAUAUCAAAAGAGAAUCAAAGAAACUAACAUAGCAAAAAUACAAAAAAAAGGAAGCUAGUAGAUCCAACUUUACAGUUUCUAACAUUAAUAACGCGAAUAUCGAAUAUCAAAUAUAAUUCUAACAAAUAAAAAUAAUUAAAGAUAGUCGAAGACAAUCCAGGAAAAAAGACGAAAUUCAAAAAAUCAAUUGCACCUUAUGAAAAAAAAACAAAAACAAAAAAAAACAAAAGCAAAACAAAAGAAGAAGAAAUAAUCGUAUAACGAACUAUUGAUGAAAAUAUCCAUCGAAAUAUUUAUCGAAAAACAUUUAUCAUCGAUACAUCAUCUAUCAAAAUAUCUACGAACAAAAAUGAUGGAAAAGAUAGAAAAGAAAAAUAUUUAUCGAAGUAUCUGCAAAACAAAUGAAAGAAAUAAAACCCCAAAUAAGAUAAAAAACACAAAUAUCUAAUAAAAUUUCAACGUAGAAAUAAGAAAUGAUAGUUGAAAAAUACUGAACAAAAAUCAACGCUGCACUCGUAGAAGAAAAGUAACACAAAACGCAACCAAAAA
rnacentral:lncRNA from 1 species